UAAUUAAAUUAACUCUUCACGUAAUGGUGAUAAUUAUGUACAUGUGAAGAAAAAACAAAAGAACAUACUCAUGGGAGGAAGAACUCAUAUAUUAGAUAAAACUAUUGGAUUACAAUAGUGGAUAUUACACAAGGAACAUCAUCCAAAUGUGAUGCAUAAUCCAAAUAUUUUCUUGACAGCGGAACUUAAACUAAAAGCAUCCAUCAAUAUCCGUACAACUAAUCUAAAAGUUAACCGAGGAACAUCAUUCAACAAGAACAUCAUCCCCGAAACUUAACCAAAACUGAAAGCGUCCAUUAUCAUCAUCAUGAACAGGACAUCAUGAUCAUCAUCAUCAUCUUUGCAGUAUACUUGCGACACACCCAUAUAAUCAUCCAUUUAUCCUUUGAAUCUACAGACAAAAAAAUAAACUGUUAACACAUAAUGCAUUGUAUCUGCUAGUAUAUCUCUAUAUGCAAACUCCAGAAAUUCAUCUACACCAGGUGAGUACUGUGUACUUUCUCUAGGAAAUCACAAUGGUAAUUUGGUCGAUUCUUAAACCAUUACACACUGCAUAAAAAUAACAAAUAUUAUUGUAGUUGUAACCAUGAAUGUAUUGCAAAAGCUUCGCUUGUUAAUAUCUUGUUUACAGUAUAAGUUCCUAUCAUCAUACAACAUAAAUUCACAAUUAUAUUGUUUUUCGACAAUGCAAGGAUCCUCCUCCCAGCGAUUGCAAGAUAGCAGGCAUAAUUUUUUUUCAAACAUUGUAAAAAAGCUAGUAAGGUUACUCUACUAUGCAUACUAGUCGUCAACGUUUGCACGGGCUAACAUUUUUAUGUUUCACAUUGUUAGCUGGGCAUAAGUACUAUGGUGAUCCGAAAUUGUUAGCUCAGAUCUGACAUCAGUAAUGGUUUCUCCUUACGCUAUUUCUCUUAAAGAAAAAAAAUAUGAGAGAAAUUAUGUAUACUUGGAGGCCAUAUGUCUCCCCAACUGAUGAGGUUGGAGAAAGGAGGUGCUGUAGAAUAGAGUUAUUAGAACGCUUGGUCACUGCAAAGUCAGGAUACAAUCAAACAAACAAAAAACAUCCAAAACAAAUCGUGAGUAAAAUUUGAUAGUGAAAACACACUCAAUGAGAAAUUUAUACAUGUAAAAAUUAUAUAAGAUCAGCAUGACUUAAUUUAAGGGGUUCAUGUUGUAUAUCAAGCCCAAUAUUUCACAAUAUUCAGCUUGUAUUAGUGACACUUGCAGCAAAUAUCCUAUUGUGGAUAUUCGACUCUAGAUACGUAUCAAAUAUGUCGAAUAUUUUACACGAUAGGAUUUCUCUGAGUCAUCCACUAUGUUUUACCAUGUACAUAUCUUCUUUUGACUAAAGUAUACACUAUCAGCACCCUAUAAAUUCGUACUAUAAAUAUAUACCCAAGGACACAUCAAGGAGUUGAAUUCUGUUAUCACAUGGUUGAAAACUACAGCACAAUAAUGGGAUAAUAUGCGAAGUUGCUAGAGAAAGAAGAGAGAUGAAAUCGACAUGAGCAAACUCCAGCACAAUAAUGGCCUAAUGUGCAUGCGUGCAUGCGUGUGUGGCUAAGAACUUAAUUAACGAAGCAAUAAAGUUAUUUUGGCUAACCUUUACAUGACCUAUUAAAUUAUCACCACCACAGAUAAUUAUUUGUGUUUGUCCUUCCUCAAUGGCAGUACAUAUAUUUUCACAUUCAGAAAAACAAGCUAUGAUGAAACUGACCUUGUUAGAUAAAAUAUAAGGUAGAAUUGGUAAUUGUCAAGGUCAUCCUCUUCUCUGCUUGCAUGCCACAUACCUGCACUGGUACAUAGUGCUAAUUUGCUCAAGUAAACAUUUGUUUUCUUUGAAACUGAAAAGAAACCUUGAUAAUUUAUGUGCUGCAAAUACAAUAGAACAACAUAUGUUUUUUGAUACAUAGUGACAUAAGUUUUACAAAUUGCACAAACAAUUAUAGUUAAGAUGUACCUCAAAAUACUAAGAAGGUUACAUAAAAAAUCUACCAAACAUAAGGACCAUCAUAAUGUUUAUACUGGGAGCUUAUGCUUUUGCACAUGCAUCACACAGACUAGUGGGACGAUAUAUGUAUAAAGAAAUAGCCACCAUGCCGAUAUUAAACUAAUCGUGCUCCUGCAGACAUGUAUGAAUUAACACAUACACUGAAGCAUCACACGUUCAAGUUAAUUAGGCUACAGUUAUGCAUGCAAUUUAAUAGAAUUAGCGCUUACACCAUGUGUGGAGGCACGAUGAUGCGACCAAUUAGACCUCUGAGCAGAUAUGAUUAGAAAGAAAGAGUGCCCAUUACGUAACAAACUAACAAACAUCUAAGUUAUGGCGGUCAAGUAGUCAGGCCUGAGUAGAUGGCCGUGAUACAACACUCGCGGAUGUUCUCACUUCUACAACAACUUCGCGUAAAGUUCUCACUUCUACAACAACUCACUGGAACAUGUGAACACUGCUACCUAGUUCAGCUGUAAUAAGGUUAAAAAUGAUUUUUCCAAUAGAAAUAUGACUGUAUGAUGGAGUGACUGAUCAGGCCUACAUCUUGGCAUGUAAGCAGAAAGUGGAACUUUGAAUCAUCAACAUCAACCAUGAGACUAAGACAACAAGCCUAUUAUACAAUCAGUCAAUCACAUAAUCAACGAGAGCAACCAACGACUGCAUAAUCAACUUUCACUUACAUGGGCUCGUGACAGGCUCCUAAGCCAUAACUAAAAUCAGUUCAAUCACAGAAAGAUGCUUCAGCUAGAAGAUCCCCUCCGCAGCAACCAUCUAUAAUUCAACAUGUCGAUCAUUAUCAGGGACUGGCAUGUCGUAAGUAGCAAUUCCCAACUAGACUGAAGUGAAGCAGAGCAAGAUGGGGAAAAUAAAAUUAGGACAAGAAAAGCGGUCUGGCUCACCAAGGUAGCGCGAUUGCGAGGGUGUAGGGGUAACUCUGCCAGUAGCUGCAGGCCCUCGUGCGAAGGUAGUAGAUGCAGUUGGUCGUCGAAGGGGAGCGGUGACGAGAGGGACGGCGCGAUGGGAAGUAGGUCGCAGGGGAGUGUUGACUAGCGACGGUGUGCCGGGAUGGAGGAUCGCAGGGGGAGUGGUG
rnacentral:lncRNA from 1 species